rnacentral:rRNA from 1 species
UACAGAGGGUGCAAGCGUUGUUCGGAAUUAUUGGGCGUAAAGCGCGUGUAGGCGGUGAUGCAUGUCGGGUGUGAAAGCCCUCGGCUUAACUGAGGAAGUGCGCCCGAAACUGCAUCGCUGGAGUGUCGGAGAGGAAGGCGGAAUUCCCGGUGUAGAGGUGAAAUUCGUAGAUAUCGGGAGGAACACCGGUGGCGAAGGCGGCGACCUGGGUCGAGACUGACGCUGAGGCGCGAAAGCGUGGGGAGCAAACAGG